rnacentral:rRNA from 1 species
CUCCUAGUACGAGAGGACCGGAGUGGACGUACCUCUGGUGUUCCGGUUGUCACGCCAGUGGCACAGCCGGGUAGCUAUGUACGGACGGGAUAACCGCUGAAAGCAUCUAAGCGGGAAGCCUCCCUCAAGAUUAGGUCUCCCUGGGAACUUGAUUCCCCUGAAGGGCCGUUGAAGACGACAACGUUGAUAGGCUGGGUGUGGAAGUGCAGUAAUGUAUGAAGCUAACCAGUACUAAUUGCCCGUGAGGCUUGACCAUAUAACACCCAAGUGGUUUGG